AGGGGGGGGCUUACCAUGCAGUCGACGAUGAACCACUUCGGUGGGGAUUAGUGGCGAACGGGUGAGUAACACGUGGGCAAUCUGCCCUUCACUCUGGGACAAGCCCUGGAAACGGGGUCUAAUACCGGAUAACACUUCCACUCUCCUGAGUGGAGGUUAAAAGCUCCGGCGGUGAAGGAUGAGCCCGCGGCCUAUCAGCUAGUUGGUGAGGUAAUGGCUCACCAAGGCGACGACGGGUAGCCGGCCUGAGAGGGCGACCGGCCACACUGGGACUGAGACACGGCCCAGACUCCUACGGGAGGCAGCAGUGGGGAAUAUUGCACAAUGGGCGAAAGCCUGAUGCAGCGACGCCGCGUGAGGGAUGACGGCCUUCGGGUUGUAAACCUCUUUCAGCAGGGAAGAAGCGAAAGUGACGGUACCUGCAGAAGAAGCGCCGGCUAACUACGUGCCAGCAGCCGCGGUAAUACGUAGGGCGCGAGCGUUGUCCGGAAUUAUUGGGCGUAAAGAGCUCGUAGGCGGCUUGUCACGUCGGUUGUGAAAGCCCGGGGCUUAACCCCGGGUCUGCAGUCGAUACGGGCAGGCUAGAGUGCGGUAGGGGAGAUCGGAAUUCCUGGUGUAGCGGUGAAAUGCGCAGAUAUCAGGAGGAACACCGGUGGCGAAGGCGGAUCUCUGGGCCGAUACUGACGCUGAGGAGCGAAAGCGUGGGGAGCGAACAGGAUUAGAUACCCUGGUAGUCCACGCCGUAAACGGUGGGCACUAGGUGUGGGCAACAUUCCACGUUGUCCGUGCCGCAGCUAACGCAUUAAGUGCCCCGCCUGGGGAGUACGGCCGCAAGGCUAAAACUCAAAGGAAUUGACGGGGCCCGCACAAGCGGCGGAGCAUGUGCUUAAUUCGACGCACGCGAGACCUUACCAGGCUGACAUACACGGAAACGUCUGGAGACAGGCGCCCCCCUUGGUCGGUGUACAGGUGGUGCAUGCAUGUCGUCAGCUCGGUCUGAGAUGUGGUAGUCCGCACGAGCCCAACCUUGUUCCUGUUUGCACAGGGCCUUAGUGUGACUG
rnacentral:rRNA from 2 species